UCCUGGCUCAGAUGAACGCUACGGCAGCCUAACACAUGCAAGUCGAGGGAGGAGCUUUCGGGCUUCGACCGGCGUACGGGUGCGUAACGCGUAUACAAUCUGCCUUUCACAUAGGGAUAGCCCGAAGAAAUUUGGAUUAAUACCUAAUGGUAUAUAGAUGUGGCAUCACCUUUAUAUUAAAGCUGAGGCGGUGAAAGAUGAGUAUGCGUUCUAUUAGCUAGUUGGAGAGGUAACGGCUCCCCAAGGCUACAAUAGAUAGGGGUUCUGAGAGGGAUAUCCCCCACACUGGUACUGAGAUACGGACCAUACCCCUACUGGAGGCAGCAGUGAGGAAUAUUGGACAAUGGUCGGAAGACUGAUCCAGCCAUGCCGCGUGCAGGAAGACGGCCUUAUGGGUAGUAAACUGCUUUUGCAGGGGAAGAAUAAGGACUACGAGUAGUUUGAUGACGGUACUCUGCGAAUAAGCAUCGGCUAACUCCGUGCCGGCAGCCGCGGUAAUACGGAGGAUGCGAGCGUUAUCCGGAAUCAUUGGGUUUAAAGGGUCCGUAGGCGGGCUAAUAAGUCAGAGGUGAAAGCGCUCAGCUCAACUGAGCAACUGCCUUUGAAACUGUUAGUCUUGAAUGGUUGUGAAGUACUUGGAAUGUGUAGUGUAACGGUGAAAUGCUUAGAUAUUACACAGAACACCGAUAGC
rnacentral:rRNA from 1 species